UACGUAGGGUGCAGGCGUUAAUCGGAAUUACUGGGCGUAAAGAGCUCGUAGGUGGUUUGUCGCGUUGUUCGUGAAAACUCACAGCUUAACUGUGGGCGUGCGGGCGAUACGGGCAGACUGGAGUACUGCAGGGGAGACUGGAAUUCCUGGUGUAGCGGUGGAAUGCGCAGAUAUCAGGAGGAACACCGGUGGCGAAGGCGGGUCUCUGGGCAGUAACUGACGCUGAGGAGCGAAAGCGUGGGGAGCAAACAGG
rnacentral:rRNA from 1 species